ACCAUCCUUCUCUUGGGGUGCGCUACUGGCCAAUGAACGUCUAGUGAGGGCAGUACUGCUAACGCCAACAAACAACACAUUCGUGCCACUAGUGAGCAAUCGCUAGAAAGGUACAAUUUUUGGAACC